UUAAAAUAAUGUCUGUGAGUAUAACAAAACUGAUAAGGCAGGCGAAAACCCGAGGAAAAUCCAUCCAGGAAGUACUAUUAUUUUGAAAGGCUGUUUUUCCAUUGAAAGCCUAUCCACCAUACAAAGACUUAGGACCCAAUUCACGAUCUCUAUGUCUUCUUCUACAUGUGGCCAGUCUUUAGGCGUUGUUUCAGGCUUUUACUCUGAAAAAUGAGGGAGAUACAGCACUUUCAAUGAGUGGACAGUGGAAAUUUCCAGACAUGAGCCCAGCACGUGAUUGGGAGCGGGCAUUUGUUGUUUCUCCUUUUCUAUUGACGAAGCUUUUGUCCGGAUGAAAUAUUAUUGAUUAUUUAUGACAAAAACAACCUGAGGAUUGAUUUUAAACAUCGUUUGACAUGUUUCUAUGAACUUUUAUUGUACUUUUUUUCCUUUCGUCUUUGUACCUUUGGAUUACUGAACUAAACACACCAACAAAACUGAGGUUUUUGGACAUAAAGAGGGACAUUAUCAAACAGAACUAACAUUUAUUGUGUAACAUGGAGCCCUGGGAGUGCCACCAGAUGAAGAUCAUUAAAGGUAAGUGAUUCAUUUAAUCGCUAUUUCUGACUUUUGUGAGUCCUCCUUGGCUGGAAAAUGUCUGUAUGGUGUUUUGUGGCUACGUGCUGUCCUAACAUAAUCGCAUGGUGUAAUUUCGCUGUAAAGCCUUUUUGAAAUCUGACACAGUGGCUGGAUUAACAAGACAUUUAUCUUUAAUCCUAUGUAUAACACUUGUAUCUUGCAUCAAUUUUUAUGAUGAGUAUUUCUGUAAUUAGAUUUGGCUCUCUGCAAUUCCACCGGAUGUUAUUUGAGACAAUGCAUUACUGACCAUAACGCGCCAAUUGAAGUCGAACACUGUGGUUGGAUUAACAAGAAGAUUAUCUUUAAAAUGGUGUAUAAUGGUGUACAAUACUUUUAAUUAUGGGAUUUCUGUUGUUUGAAUUUGGCGCCCUGCAAUUUCACUGGCUGUCGUCGAGGUGGGACGCUAGCGUCCCAAUGAUACCAGAGAGGUUAAAGUCCCCAGGCUACUAGGAGCCUGCCUCUGGGCCACCCGACGCCAGAGCUCCAAAGACACUGCUGCUGCUGAUUUCUUGCCUCUAGCAGAGAGCUACCUGGCCGACUACAGUGACAAACACACACUCUCUAUCAAACUCAAGACUGACAAACUCACGCUCUCUAUCCCACUUUGCCCGCGCUGCCGCAAGGAGGGAUCCCCAGCUCAGCUCAUCAAACAUAAUUAUUUUCAGUUGUGUGAAAUAUGUGACAUUUUUAUUUCACGUGUGAAAUUAUAUUGAUAUCUAAUGUUUGCAGUGAAUAUUAGAGCAAUUCUUGAAUGUGAGCAUCUUAGUGUAUCCUGGAGUUGGUAUAUUAAACUACCUGCCACUGGGUUAGGCAUCCUCACAUAAAAAACGAUUGCCCUUCCUAUUUCUGGGCAAUGAUUGCUCUGUUCAGUCCUUUAUCAUUGAUGACCUUGGAGGACACCAGAAAGAUGAUAGCCUUUUGAUUUUAAGUUGUAUAUGAUGAUUACAAUAACAACCAGUCUGGUUAUACAAGGCAAUUGACUGAUUUAUUGGGACAAGGCUUGAAUUAUUAAUAGACAUCUCAUUAUUAAUUUGUUUUGGGUAUCAGAAGAUACGUCCAACACAAGCCAUGAAUAGCUUACUUUGAUAUAUGGCUGACUAACUUUAGUUUUCGUAUGUAUUGUUGUGAUUGCGUUGACAGACAAUAUCAAAAAAGUGUUUAUGGACAUAUUCAACCUCUCUUUAUCCCAGUCUGCUGUCCCCACAUGCUUCAAGAUGGCUACCAUUGAUCCUGUACCCGAGAAAGCGAAGGUAACUGAAUUAAAUGACUAUCACCCCGUAGCACUCACUUCUGUCAUCAUGAAGUGCUUUGAGAGACUAGUCAAGGAUUAUAUCACCUCUACCUUACCUGACACCCUAGACCCACUUCGAUUUGCUUCCCGCCCCAAUAGAUCCACAAACGAUGCAAUCGCCAUCACACUGCACACUGCCCUAUCCCACCUUAACAAGAGGAAUACCUAUGUAAGAAUGCUGUUCAUUGACUAUAGCUUAGCAUUCAACACCAUAGUACCCUCCAAGCUCAUCAUUAAGCUCGAGGCCCUGGGUCUGAACUCCGCCCUGUGCAACUGGAUCCUGGAUUUAAAAUGUAUGUAAAAUCUCAGAAAUAUUCUAUAUUAAACUCCGAAAUAGACAUAUGUGUCAGUGGGCUCAUCAUUUAAAUAAAAAAUUGCUUUCAAUUCUGAAUUUUAACAUAAAUCUAAUCUUCCUGGGAUUGUCCUUAACAUUUCAGACUGAGCUCAGAAAACAUUACAUUUAUAUUUAUUCAUCUUUGCUAUUUUAUUUAACAAAUAUUGUCAUGUGACGGGGUUGAGACUAGGGUGAUAGGGUUGAAUACUGUAACGGGGUUGAGACUAGGGUGAUAGGGUUGAAUACUGUAACGGGGUUGAGACUAGGGUGAUAGGGUUGAAUACUGUAACGGGGUUGAGACUAGGGUUAUAGGGUUGAAUACUGUAACGGGGUUGAGACUAGGGUGAUAGGGUUGAAUACUGUAACGGGGUUGAGACUAGGGUGAUAGGGUUGAAUACUGUAACGGGGUUGAGACUAGGGUGAUAGGGUUGAAUACUGUAAUGGGGUUGAGACUAGGGUGAUAGGGUUGAAUACUGUAACGGGUUGAGACUAGGGUGAUAGGGUUGAAUACUGUAACGGGGUUGAAGAGACACAUCGGUUUCCAUAUAAACUACUUUAGUUUACUGUCAAAAUCCCUCCGAGAUUUACCCCAAAACAUUGCAUUUCAUUGUAUGCAACCAUGUAAUAAGGACAUUAGAUAUAUUUAGAAUAAUCUGGGUUUUAUUAACCAAACUGCAGUAAAUAUCGAAACAAAUAAAAACACAUCAGGCAUUAGGGUAAUUAAUAACAUUCAACAGGUUUCAUCAGAAAAGUUAAUUGUGUCAUCAAACUGUAGAAACAUUUUCCGAGGGUAUUUAGAAUGCGAU
rnacentral:lncRNA from 1 species